GGACUGAAAGCACAGAGAGGAGUGGGCCUCACAGGCCCGGAGCGAGUGGCCCGGUCCUGGGCUUGGCCCUUGCUUUCCUCCCAGAGAGCUGGAGGAGUUCAGACAUGGGAGCGAUGGCUGAAUCUCUUCAGCCUCCAACAGCAGCAGAGUGGCCUCAGGAUGACGGAGCAAACAGCCAGUUAGGCAUGAACUCUCCAUUCGUCACCAGCUGGCGCCUGUUUGGCAGCAGUUUCCCUCAUUUCCCCGCUUCAUCUUUUCAGGUCAAGAUGGCAGCUUAAGAAGAUUAAUCCAGUCGGCUAAAUGGGGCGGAGAAAUGGAGCGUGGGCCGAGGAUGUCUCCACCCUCCACCACCAUCAGCUGACCCCUGCCUGACCCCCUCAGACGGGCCGCACCCGAGGCCACUGUACCCUCCCAAACAUCAUUCAUCCUUUCAUACGAAGCAGCUGAGUCGAGCGGCAGUUGCAGGCUCUGCUGCUCUGACAGAGCCCUGAGGGGGUUCGUGCUGCCCACAGUUCCCUCAUGGUGUCACCUCCUCCAUGUCAACGACGCCUUCAUGUGUUCAUUCUCCUCAUCUGUUCAGUUGGACCACGGAUUCAUUUUGAGCUUUGAACUCUGCAGGUCAAAGUUCAGCGUGGGGGGGGAGCGGAAGCACCUGAAGGCUGAGACGGGGUCAGGAGCAAGUUAGCGCCAAGUCAGCCAGGUCAUUUCCAGUCUCAGAAGAGAAACCCUGCGCUGGUGGCUUCACCAUGGGCUGCAGCACACGUGGUUUCUCCACUGAACAGCCGCAGCAGAGGCAGCAGGCCACGCUCCUGGGAUUCAUCGGGGCGUGCGCGUCCCAAGACCAUUGUUAUGUAAAAGCAAGUGACAUCAACAAACACACUCACACGUCUCAGUAAGGAGAGCGCUAUGAAGAGGCAAACAAGCGGCGGCAGCAGACAAUCCUCUCUCUCUCUCUCUCACGUCCUUCAGCCGAUCCUUCUCUCUCCAACACAGACUCCUACAAAAUGAAAGCCUUUUCUAAUUUGGGCUCCUCCUGCGUCAGCAUCUCUGUGCGACUGGCUGCUGCACCUCAGCCUGGGCCGCUUCCGUCUGAAAGCAAAGUCAGGAUGGGAGUCGGAACAGAGCAGUUCAGUCCGGGCGAGGACAGCCAGCUGCGUCCCGCAGCAGCAGCAGGGUUUGUUCUCGCUGGUCAGGUGGACCACGUCAGCUGUCAAACACUGUCAAACACAUGCAGAUUCUACAACUUUACGUUCCACUUGAACAAGUGUCGGCGUAAGACAUGACUUGAUGGGUGGACGGAGGGCGGCCCCACACAGAGGUCAGAGCACUGAACCACUGACCAAACAUGGUGAAACAGCACUUUCAAAUCUUACAUUUACAUGUUGUCUUCCAUAAAUAUGUGACCAAGACCUAAAAUACUUCAGUGGUUUCACACUGUGGGCUCUGUCUCGGGUGGCCGAUGCGCCCCCUGCUGUGCAGCCUCCACCACUGCGCCUCAGGCCUUUUUUUCUCCUCAGCUGGGGGCGCUCUGUGCAAAGUAGCUGGUUUGUGACCCACGGCGAAGCACGUCUCAAGGAACCUGUUUACCACACCAUCGGCUCGACCUCCUUAUUUCUCACUUCGUCCUCACCUCAGGACUGAACUGAUGACGGAGCUGAGCCAGGGCUGGAACAGAAUGUGGCGUUUCACAUCCAAAACUAAACAUGAAAGAGUCUUGUCAUGUUUGUUUUACAGGGAAAUAGUGGAAACUAGCUGCGUAAUACGGGGCGUCUGGAUCGGUCCACGCUGCUCUCACGACACCUUGACCACAGUGAGAGAGAUGACUGAGGAUGGAGAAGGUUCUAGUCAGUGAAGUCCAGAUCCAGACCGCAGAGAUGAUCCAUGAAUGGUCUGGUGAUCUUGUCGUGGUCCUGGUGCUACCAGUCUAACGUCCUCCGACCUCAUCUGAAGUUCUGGAGCUGCCAGCUUCAGUGAGGAGGCUUCCAUCAAGUGACUCAGCAAAGUGUCUCUUUGUCUCCACAGCCCGUCCACGGUGAGCAACACAGUGUCUCAGUUCCAAAAGAGCACUGAAGAGGAGUGUGAGGAUCCGCGCAGGCAGAUGGGCUGCAGCUACAGAGUUACAUAAGCAGAGCUGCUUCCUUCUGUCCUCACUGCUGAGGAGCUGAUGCUCGUGGUCCUGGGUUCUCCUCCAGCCGCCCUCACGCUGGGCCGCAGCUGCCUCUGGCUGGGAGGAAAACGGAGUGCCACAAGAAACUACAGCCGUUUCUCUCCAUGCAUUUUAAUAACGCAACACUUGGACGCUGGCGUGUCGACAAAACAGCAUGAAUAAUGAAAGUCAAUGGCUCGGCUCCACCAACAAGAAGCAGUGUCCAUGGAUCAUAUUUCAAAAUCUUCAAUGGGCAAGAACUACUCCGAGGAAGUUAUGUUCCACUUGCACCGUAAUGAACAAAAAUCAAUGUCAGUUUUAUACUUUGACUGACUCUGACUCCACACAGUCAAAGGGCCGCACUUUGCCCAGGUCUGGAUUCAAGGUCACUGUAGAGUGAAGGAUCGCACAGAAUGGAAGGACCUGCAGAGCAUGAUGGGAAACAGGGCCGACCGCUCCACAGACCCGCCGGAUAAACACAACUUGGAAAAGUUUCAUUUCCGUGCCAGAAAGCAGCUGCAGGAGAGCAGGGCUGAUCACAGCCUCAGGAUCUGAGGGACAAUGGCGCAGUGGCAUGCAGCGCGGCGCGGCGCGGCAGGACACCUGGAACGUGAGGGCACCGAGAUAACAACGUGGAAGGAGAGGAGCGGCUGAACCUGGGGAUGCGCUGAGACAUGUGGAGCCCAGACGCCUCAUCGGGAACCAAAAGACUGAUCAAUUAUUCAACAGAGAAACGGACAAAGGCAGACGUAUUGAGCUGGACCUGCAGGGCCUGAGGAAUCUCUCCAGCAGCGGGACUCCCUCAGGAGGGGGCUCGAGUCUCUGCUCCCCGGGGAGCAGCGCCACAGCUCGCCAGGGUCGGACGGUCCCGGACGUCUCCAGGGACAACGUCAAUAUUGAUGUGAAGGAGGUGCGUGGACAACAUGAGCAACACAGCUGAAUCAGCAAAAACAAGCCGACAGUAAGGAUCCGUGUCCUCGUGGGUUCACAGCGGGUUGGACAGAUGCAGUUCCACAGGAGCUUUGGAAUGACGGGAUGCUCUGAGAACCAGGGCUUCAGACACACGGUUGUUCCACUCGCACGUCACCUUCCAGAUAUUCACAGCACUCGCGUCAAACACGAGGCCCCGGGGCCAACUCUGGCCCCCAACAUCAUUUGCUGCCUGAACCGUUCCACUUGUCAACUGGAUUUUUGAAGCAUCGUGCUGUGAAAGCAACCACGGAGCACCAGUUAUAUAACCGGAUAACUGCCUCAUGAGACCGACACCCACUUUCUUUCCAGUUUCCUCUGUGAAUCAGAUUGUUCUGGGGGCAAGUGAGGGGGUCACAGGUGGGGAGGAGGCUGCCCCAGCCACGGUCCCGCGCACACGCGGCGAUGCUAGCUCAGUCAGAACCCACCAGCAGAGGGCCGGCUGGAUUUGAACCAGAGACCUUCCUCAGGCGACACACUGCACAAACCAGUGGUGUGAAAGAGGAAGCACAAACUCUCUCCCAGGGUCGUGAGUCCGACUGUUGACCAGCUUUAGCAUGUUGCAGACUGAUGUCCUGCAGCCAUCAACAGGCACUGGCACUGGACCCGGCCAGGUCUCCUGAUGGGGACUAAUGUCCCGUUUGAGUCGGCUCUCUGUUCAGCCAGGACCGGCUGCUGCGAGAGCACCUGCCUCCCAAGUCCACAUUAGAUCUGCUGUACUUCAUGCAGUUCAGCUCUCCCACUGGCCGUUGGAUCGGAGGCCUGUUCAGCACAAUGCCUUUAACCCUUGAACUUCAACACGUGCUCUUCACCGUCGCAGGGCUUCACUCUGCUCUCUGGAAUGAUUCCUCAUGCCACUCCGGACCCUCCGACCCACAGGCCUUGCUACACAGGAAUUCUAAUGAAGGUCCAACAGCUUGUGAGAUUUAGCUUCUAUUUUUUUUAUUGAACUUGUGUCUUGUUAAUGGGAAUCUCACCAGCAACCCUGGAGAGCAGCUGGAGGAAUAAGGGUUUCUGUCCGUGACCUUGAGUCCAGGUGCGAGGAGGGUCACCUCCAGACUCCUGCCUCUCUGGUGUUGCCUCCCAUAAGCCCUCUGGGAUUCAGACCUGGAGUAAAAACACACACCUCACACGAACCUCUGAGAGGAACGGAGGAACGAUGCUGACGGAGAUUUUCAGCUUCGUCUCCACCAUUCGGUGCUCGUCGACCCGAAUCAACAUUUUCUCACUAAUCCACAUGCUGAUUUGCUCCGCUGAGGCUUGAGCAGAUGUGGACGCACACGUGCAGCCUGGAUCUUGAGGAACAGGACUUCAGAAUGAACACGCCGCUCCUGGAUCGCAGGAUCUCCGUCCACGGAACUGAGGCAUUUACAUGAGCUCAGCCCCAGGACUCACUUCUCAUGUCAUGGUUUCUCCUCACCGCGCUGCAGCCGUGGCACUAUUGGUGGCACUGACCCAAACACCCAGUCACUAGAGAUGGGCCAUAUGGACAAAUGGUUUGUUGACGUCUCAAUAGAAGAGUGAACUCUGCAGUGCAGAGAUGAGCAACUCAAUGUUUCAGGUCUCUGGUAGAAGCCGCUGGUGUCUGACAGGCUGCUCUGCCAGCUUUAUUGAGGGCUUCAAUGGAGCCGUCUGUCUGUCUGUCUGUCUGUCUGCUGUGUCUCAUGUCUCUGAACAGUUGAACUAUGGAGCAGUCUGGACACAGUUCCUAGAUGCUGCUGAGGAAACAUUACCAAGGCAGAGGAGCGCCUCAGAGAACCUGUGAGGACCACUCCAUCUCAUCAAAGAAACAGGGAUCCAGAGAGUCAGAGUCCACCAGUGUCAUGAUCGGAGGUUCAAACUACCACAGUGAAGCAAAGUCCACCACACUCUCCACAACUGUCACACGCCACGGAGCUGGAGAGCGCGGCGCCGUCACAGUCUUCAUCAGAGAACCCUCUCUGUUUGAGAGGAACGGCCAUUGAUAACUAUCAGCGUCAGUUGGGAAGAUUGUUGUCAUUUCUUCCAUCAACAGCUCCUCCCACUUCCAUCCAGUCCCUCAGAGGGAGGACCUUCCUGCCUCUGGGCUGAAGUCUAGCAAGGCUACAAGGAGCCAGGAUCCAACCAUCAACUGCACCACAGAUGAGCACAGCAGAUGAAGCGUGACUCACUCCUCUGUUUGGACUGAGCGUGGAGGGUGAUGCGAGGUCCUGUCGGAGCACGUCAGCGUCUGGUGCUCUUUCUCCAUGCUUGUGUCCUUCAUUAUUCUGGACAACACAGUCAGUCCUGGGCGCAGGCUCGGGCUCCGGCCGGGCUCUCUACCUGGUUCACACGGCUGGAGCCAGGGAGUUCUGGCACAUGUCGACCACAAAAUGCCUCCUUAAGUCAUGACCCUUGACCUGUGGCGGAGCCCAAGAGCCGCUCCUUCCCACAGCAUAGUUUCCCUAACCAGAAACCAACCAGAGCCAAACCAAACUGGAGAGAGAAGAUCUGAGGAUGCAGUGUCCAGGUUGUCAGUGUGAGGUUCCACUGACUGAAAAGACUCUGUGACACCGCGGUGCGUUUGAAACCUUCAGGACGCGAGAUCUUUCCCUCUCACCACACUGCAGAGCUGUGGGCCAGGGGGCUGAAAUCCAGCUUCAAAGAGGAGGAGAAACAAAGCCUGGGCAGCUUCCCAACGCAGGCCGCGAGCGAAGAGCCAGUCAGCCUGCCAGGCCUCUGCUCUCCGGCAGGAACCGGCCGAGCACAGAGACGCAGUCGCGGCGGCUUCACCACACAACAACACCGCUCCUGCCGCUCCUCACGCCAUCAUCUGGUUUCACCUGGAGCGGCGUAGAUAACUGCAUCUCGCCAAUGAUUCCGGGUUUUAUCGCUGUUCCUGACAGCCACGUGUUUGUAGGAGGAGAUGUGAAGCAUCUGCCUCCACCUCCGUCUGUGUGUGGGUCAGUGGGCGUGCGCUCCCCAGCUAACUGGCAGGAAGAUUCAACAUGAGCUUGGAUCUUCUCAGGCAUCGAGCCUCCGCUGCCACACACGCACUGAUCACCUGAGCCCAGGGCCACCACCGGAGCCGGAGUCGCACCUGAGCUGGAGCCACAAAUGACAGACAGCCAGCGUCUCUGUGACAGACUGUCUUCUUCUCUUCUGCUCUUCACGCGGAGAAAGGUCUCGACAAGCUUGGACUUGCCUUCUACUGCCCAGCCAUUCAUGGGAAUGUCAACAGCCUAUUGCACCUGCACUGCACCUUGUCUGCCGUCAAACUCGACCCACUCAUGCAACUCUCCGGGGCUCUUUAAUGCCCAGCCCAAGGGCCCUUCAGCAGAUGUUCUGACCUUCCUUAUGUGUUCAUUUGCUUCAGUCCACUAUUUCAAAAGGCAAUUUUCAAAUCAAACAUCACAUUCUUUUGCGUGACCAGUGAAUCGACAGCGUGACGUAUCGGGGACAUUGGGAGGAAACUGGAGAGAGCGGCAGGUCAUCGACACUGGACAUGACCGAGGCUCUGCUCCGGAACUUCACGUAACUGUGGAAGAGCGAAGCACACUCGACUCUGCAGCCCAGUGAGCCGUGACCAGCACGUGUUUCCUCUUCUUCUCUCUUCCAGCCUGUUCUAUUGGGCUGAGGUUUUGCUCACUCACUUCGUUCAUGUUUUCUCUCCAGGCUCGGUGACGCCCCUGGUUCCUCCUCCUCGUCUGGCUCUGUUUAUUCGCUUCUAUCCACGUUAGUAAACAUCGACAAUCGUACUGCCGCUUGUUCCCAGCCUCUGUCUCCCGUCGCUGCAAGCCUUGGAGUCUGGUACUUCUGGGUUUCGUGACAGUCCCGACCCAAUUCACCUACUGAAGACCAAUAGAACGAUGCAAGAUAAAAUGACUGAUGUAUUUGACAGUUCUGUAGCAGUCUUUACUGGAUGGUUUUCUGCUUGUCCAUAGUUGGAUUUUAGACUGCUUCAGAGUCUGAUGAACUGUGCGGUGUCAUGAAACCAAGACUCAUUCAUGUCUUUCUGGGGCCCGAGUCAAAGCUGCUGAAGAGUUGAACAAACAUUCCUGUGACACUCUCGUGCACAUCGCUGUUUUGUUUCUCCGCUCUUCACUACAACAUCGAGUCUCCGAGCGGAACUUCGUCGAGGGCCACGCGGGUCGCAGCCUUCAGACGCGCGCGCCAAUAAAGACGCGGUGAAAGCGUGAACUUUCGUGCUCGUCCUGAACACGUGAGCCGCAUCCGUCAGAACCAACCUCGUCCAACUCCGCCAAACUGCAGUGCGGCAGCUAUUCUGGGAAUGUUUCACGUGAACCUGAUGAAUAUUUGAUCGCGCGGCGGGUGAGGCGGCAGCGACGCGUCCUACCUGGCCUGAACAUGUUGGCGGCGCGGCGCGGCUCGUCUAACGGCGUCUCCUCUGGACGAUCAUGCUCCCGGCGUCGGCUCGGUUCUGCUCCGGUCCAGCUGGCCCCGCGGUCACGUGACUGGCUCAACUCCCCAUCCU